AGGUCAGUGGCUAUCUCGUCCGCCUGAAAAGCGGAAGGUCGCCGGUUCGAUCCCGGCCCUGGCCA
rnacentral:tRNA from 2 species